AUCCAGCAGACGAGUCCCAAACAGGACGAAACGCGCGUUCUGGAU
rnacentral:hammerhead_ribozyme from 1 species